rnacentral:rRNA from 1 species
AGAGUUUGAUCCUGGCUCAGGACGAACGCUAGCGGCGUGCCUAAUGUAUGCAAGUCGAGCGAGGUAAGCGACUUCGGUGGCUUAUCGAGCGGCAAACGGUUGAGUAACACGUAGGCAACCUGCCCCAGAGACGGGGAUAGCCCGCCGAAAGGCGGAUUAAUACCGGAUGUGGCGGGAGGGGACCUCCCCUUUCUGCUAAAGGUGGCAACACGCUCUGGGAUGGGCCUGCGGCCUAUCAGCUAGUUGGUGGGGUAACGGCCUACUAAGGCGACGACGGGUAGCUGGUCUGAGAGGAUAGUCAGCCAGACAGGGACUGAGACACGGCCCUGACUCCUUUGGGGGGCAGCAAUGAGGGAUAUUGCACAAUGGGGGAAACCCUGAUGCAGCGACGCCGCGUGGGUGACGAAGUUCUUCGGAAUGUAAAGCCCUUUUCUCGGGGAAGAGAACGGACGGUACCCGAGGAAUAAGCCCCGGCUAACUACGUGCCAGCAGCCGCGGUAAUACGUAGGGGGCGAGCGUUGUCCGGAAUUACUGGGCGUAAAGCGCGUGUAGGCGGGAAGGCAAGUCGGACGUGAAAGGCUUCGGCUCAACCGGAGACGGCCGUUCGAAACUGCCUUUCUUGAGGGUCGAAGAGGAGCGUGGAAUUCCUGGUGUAGCGGUGAAAUGCGUAGAGAUCAGGAGGAACACCCGUGGCGAAGGCGGCGCUCUGGUCGACAACUGACGCUGAGACGCGAAAGCGUGGGGAGCGAACGGGAUUAGAUACCCCGGUAGUCCACGCCGUAAACGAUGGUCACUAGGUGUAUGCGGUAUCGACCCCGCAUGUGCCGCAGCUAACGCAAUAAGUGACCCGCCUGGGGAGUACGGCCGCAAGGUUGAAACUCAAA